CCGUGAGGGAAAGGCGAAAAGAACCCCGGCGAGGGGAGUGAAAAAGAACCUGAAACCGUGUACGUACAAGCAGUGGGAGCACAGAGCAAUCUGUGUGACUGCGUACCUUUUGUAUAAUGGGUCAGCGACUUAUAUUCUGUAGCAAGGUUAACCGAAUAGGGGAGCCGAAGGGAAACCGAGUCUUAACUGGGCGUUAAGUUGCAGGGUAUAGACCCGAAACCCGGUGAUCUAGCCAUGGGCAGGUUGAAGGUUGGGUAACACUAACUGGAGGACCGAACCGACUAAUGUUGAAAAAUUAGCGGAUGACUUGUGGCUGGGGGUGAAAGGCCAAUCAAACCGGGAGAUAGCUGGUUCUCCCCGAAAGCUAUUUAGGUAGCGCCUCGUGAAUUCAUCUCCGGGGGUAGAGCACUGUUUCGGCAAGGGGGUCAUCCCGACUUACCAACCCGAUGCAAACUGCGAAUACCGGAGAAUGUUAUCACGGGAGACACACGGCGGGUGCUAACGUCCGUCGUGAAGAGGGAAACAACCCAGACCGCCAGCUAAGGUCCCAAAGUCAUGGUUAAGUGGGAAACGAUGUGGGAAGGCCCAGACAGCCAGGAUGUUGGCUUAGAAGCAGCCAUCAUUUAAAGAAAGCGUAAUAGCUCACUGGUCGAGUCGGCCUGCGCGGAAGAUGUAACGGGGCUAAACCAUGCACCGAAGCUGCGGCAGCGACGCUUAUGCGUUGUUGGGUAGGGGAGCGUUCUGUAAGCCUGUGAAGGUGUGCUGUGAGGCAUGCUGGAGGUAUCAGAAGUGCGAAUGCUGACAUAAGUAACGAUAAAGCGGGUGAAAAGCCCGCUCGCCGGAAGACCAAGGGUUCCUGUCCAACGUUAAUCGGGGCAGGGUGAGUCGACCCCUAAGGCGAGGCCGAAAGGCGUAGUCGAUGGGAAACAGGUUAAUAUUCCUGUACUUGGUGUUACUGCGAAGGGGGGACGGAGAAGGCUAUGUUGGCCGGGCGACGGUUGUCCCGGUUUAAGCGUGUAGGCUGGUUUUCCAGGCAAAUCCGGAAAAUCAAGGCUGAGGCGUGAUGACGAGGCACUACGGUGCUGAAGCAACAAAUGCCCUGCUUCCAGGAAAAGCCUCUAAGCAUCAGGUAACAUCAAAUCGUACCCCAAACCGACACAGGUGGUCAGGUAGAGAAUACCAAGGCGCUUGAGAGAACUCGGGUGAAGGAACUAGGCAAAAUGGUGCCGUAACUUCGGGAGAA
rnacentral:rRNA from 1 species